rnacentral:rRNA from 1 species
AGAGUUUGACCUGGCUCAGAUUGAACGCUGGCGGCAGGCUUAACACAUGCAAGUCGAGCGGGGGAAGGUAGCUUGCUACUGGACCUAGCGGCGGACGGGUGAGUAAUGCUUAGGAAUCUGCCUAUUAGUGGGGGACAACAUCUCGAAAGGGAUGCUAAUACCGCAUACGUCCUACGGGAGAAAGCAGGGGAUCUUCGGACCUUGCGCUAAUAGAUGAGCCUAAGUCGGAUUAGCUAGUUGGUGGGGUAAAGGCCUACCAAGGCGACGAUCUGUAGCGGGUCUGAGAGGAUGAUCCGCCACACUGGGACUGAGACACGGCCCAGACUCCUACGGGAGGCAGCAGUGGGGAAUAUUGGACAAUGGGGGGAACCCUGAUCCAGCCAUGCCGCGUGUGUGAAGAAGGCCUUAUGGUUGUAAAGCACUUUAAGCGAGGAGGAGGCUACUUUAGUUAAUACCUAGAGAUAGUGGACGUUACUCGCAGAAUAAGCACCGGCUAACUCUGUGCCAGCAGCCGCGGUAAUACAGAGGGUGCGAGCGUUAAUCGGAUUUACUGGGCGUAAAGCGUGCGUAGGCGGCUUAUUAAGUCGGAUGUGAAAUCCCCGAGCUUAACUUGGGAAUUGCAUUCGAUACUGGUGAGCUAGAGUAUGGGAGAGGAUGGUAGAAUUCCAGGUGUAGCGGUGAAAUGCGUAGAGAUCUGGAGGAAUACCGAUGGCGAAGGCAGCCAUCUGGCCUAAUACUGACGCUGAGGUACGAAAGCAUGGGGAGCAAACAGGAUUAGAUACCCUGGUAGUCCAUGCCGUAAACGAUGUCUACUAGCCGUUGGGGCCUUUGAGGCUUUAGUGGCGCAGCUAACGCGAUAAGUAGACCGCCUGGGGAGUACGGUCGCAAGACUAAAACUCAAAUGAAUUGACGGGGGCCCGCACAAGCGGUGGAGCAUGUGGUUUAAUUCGAUGCAACGCGAAGAACCUUACCUGGCCUUGACAUACUAGAAACUUUCCAGAGAUGGAUUGGUGCCUUCGGGAAUCUAGAUACAGGUGCUGCA